AAUCAACGCUGGCGGCGUGCCUCAGACAUGCAAGUCGAACGAUUAAAGUUCUCUUCGGAGAGUGUAUAGAGUGGCGCACGGGUGAGUAACACGUAAGUAAUCUACCUUUGAGUGGGGAAUAACCCGGGGAAACCCGAGCUAAUACCGCAUAAUGCAGCGGCACCGCAAGGUGACAGUUGUUAAAGGAGCAAUCCGCUUAAAGAGGAGCUUGCGGCAGAUUAGCUAGUUGGAAGGUAAUGGCUUACCAAGGCUUCGAUCUGUAUCCGGCCUGAGAGGGCGGUCGGACACACUGACACUGAAUAACGGGUCAGACUCCUACGGGAGGCAGCAGUCGGGAAUUUUGGGCAAUGGGCGAAAGACCUGACCCAGCAACGCCGCGUGAAGGAUGAAGUAUUUCGGUAUGUAAACUUCGAAAGAAUGGG
rnacentral:rRNA from 1 species